rnacentral:rRNA from 1 species
GCUUGUCUCAAAGAUUAAGCCAUGCAUGUCUAAGUAUAAGCCUUUAUAUGGUGAGACUGCGAAUGGCUCAUUAAAUCAGAAACUGUUUAUUUGAUAGUGCCUACUACAUGGAUACCUGUAGUAAUUCUAGAGCUAAUACAUGCGUCAAGUCCCGACUUUUUGGAAGGGAUGUAUUUAUUAGAUAAAAAACCAAUGCAGGCAACUGCUCUCUUGGUGAUUCAUAGUAACUUUUCGGAUCGCACGACUUCACGUUGGCGACAGUUCAUUCAAAUUUCUGCCCUAUCAGCUUUCGACGGUACUGUAGUGGACUACCGUGGCAUUAACGGGUGACGGAGAAUUAGGGUUCGAUUCCGGAGAGGGAGCCUGAGAAACGGCUACCACAUCCAAGGAAGGCAGCAGG